GGUACUUCGGUGAUAGAUUUGCUGAAUCAGCGGGCACUCGACUGAGACAACGUGAAGUGUUGCAUAUCUUCUCUGACGUUGCUAAGGCCGUUGCUAGGCUACACCAUCGGAUAAAACCCAUCAUACAUCGCGACCUCAAGGCUGCCUGUUGACCUCUGACCCUGAGCUUCGUCCUAGUAUCUGGCAAGUGUGUGAGGUGGUGUCCAGGAUCACAGGAACCACCAACCAUGUCACUAAUGUCUUUGUGAGUACCUUACUAUUAGUAUACCCUGUAUAUGUAUAGUGGUGGGUAGACCAACAGUGGCUGUAUUAUAGAGGGUGGUCUGCUAACACAGGUCCAAACACAUGCUAUGGAGACUUUGGGGCCUGGUUGUUUUAUAGAGGGUGGCCUGCUAACACAGGUCCAAACACAUGCUAUGGAGACUUUGGGGCCCAUUAACCUGGCUGUAUUAUAGAGGGUGGUCUGCUAACACAGGUCCAAACACAUGCUACGGAGACUUUGAGGCCCAUUAACCUGGCUGUAUUAUAGAGGGUGGUCUGCUAACACAGGUCCAAACACAUGCUAUGGAGACUUUGGGGACCAUUAACCUGGCUGUAUUAUAGAGGGUGGCCUGCUAAUACAUGUCCAAACACAUGCUAUGGAGACUUUGGGGCCCAUUAACCUGGCUGUAUUAUAGAGGGUGGCCUGCUAACAUAGGUCCAAACACAUGCUAUGGAGACUUUGGGGCCCAUUAACCUGGCUGUAUUAUAGAGGGUGGCCUGCUAAUACAUGUCCAAACACAUGCUAUGGAGACUUUGGGGCCCAUUAACCUGGCUGUAUUAUAGAGGGUGGCCUGCUAACACAGGUCCAAACACAUGCUAUGGAGACUUUGAGGCCCAUUAACCUGGCUGUAUUAUAGAGGGUGGUCUGCUAACACAGGUCCAAACACAUGCUAUGGAGACUUUGGGGCCCAUUAACCUGGCUGUAUUAUAGAGGGUGGCCUGCUAACACAGGUCCAAACACAUGCUAUGGAGACUUUGAGGCCCAUUAACCUGGCUGUAUUAUAGAGGGUGGUCUGCUAACACAGGUCCAAACACAUGCUAUGGAGACUUUGAGGCCCAUUAACCUGGCUGUAUUAUAGAGGGUGGCCUGCUAAUACAUGUCCAAACACAUGCUAUGGAGACUUUGGGGCCCAUUAACCUGGCUGUAUUAUAGAGGGUGGCCUGCUAACAUAGGUCCAAACACAUGCUAUGGAGACUUUGGGGCCCAUUAACCUGGCUGUAUUAUAGAGGGUGGCCUGCUAAUACAUGUCCAAACACAUGCUAUGGAGACUUUGGGGCCCAUUAACCUGGCUGUAUUAUAGAGGGUGGCCUGCUAACACAGGUCCAAACACAUGCUAUGGAGACUUUGAGGCCCAUUAACCUGGCUGUAUUAUAGAGGGUGGUCUGCUAACACAGGUCCAAACACAUGCUAUGGAGACUUUGAGGCCCAUUAACCUGGCUGUAUUAUAGAGGGUGGCCUGCUAACACAGGUCCAAGCACAUGCUAUGGAGACUUUGGGACCCAUUAACCUGGCUGUAUUAUAGAGGGUGGCCUGCUAACACAGGUCCAAACACAUGCUAUGGAGACUUUGGGACCCAUUAACCUGGCUGUAUUAUAGAGGGUGGCCUGCUAACACAGGUCCAAACACAUGCUAUGGAGACUUUGGGCCCAUUAACCUGGCUGUAUUAUAGAGGGUGGUCUGCUAACACAGGUCCAAACACAUGCUAUGGAGACUUUGGGGCCCAUUAACCUGGCUGUAUUAUAGAGGGUGGCCUGCUAAUACAUGUCCAAACACAUGCUAUGGAGACUUUGGGGCCCAUUAACCUGGCUGUAUUAUAGAGGGUGGCCUGCUAACACAGGUCCAAACACAUGCUAUGGAGACUUUGAGGCCCAUUAACCUGGCUGUAUUAUAGAGGGUGGUCUGCUAACACAGGUCCAAACACAUGCUAUGGAGACUUUGGGGCCCAUUAACCUGGCUGUAUUAUAGAGGGUGGCCUGCUAACACAGGUCCAAACACAUGCUAUGGAGACUUUGAGGCCCAUUAACCUGGCUGUAUUAUAGAGGGUGGUCUGCUAACACAGGUCCAAACACAUGCUAUGGAGACUUUGAGGCCCAUUAACCUGGCUGUAUUAUAGAGGGUGGCCUGCUAAUACAUGUCCAAACACAUGCUAUGGAGACUUUGGGGCCCAUUAACCUGGCUGUAUUAUAGAGGGUGGCCUGCUAACAUAGGUCCAAACACAUGCUAUGGAGACUUUGGGGCCCAUUAACCUGGCUGUAUUAUAGAGGGUGGCCUGCUAAUACAUGUCCAAACACAUGCUAUGGAGACUUUGGGGCCCAUUAACCUGGCUGUAUUAUAGAGGGUGGCCUGCUAACACAGGUCCAAACACAUGCUAUGGAGACUUUGAGGCCCAUUAACCUGGCUGUAUUAUAGAGGGUGGUCUGCUAACACAGGUCCAAACACAUGCUAUGGAGACUUUGAGGCCCAUUAACCUGGCUGUAUUAUAGAGGGUGGCCUGCUAACACAGGUCCAAGCACAUGCUAUGGAGACUUUGGGACCCAUUAACCUGGCUGUAUUAUAGAGGGUGGCCUGCUAACACAGGUCCAAACACAUGCUAUGGAGACUUUGGGACCCAUUAACCUGGCUGUAUUAUAGAGGGUGGCCUGCUAACACAGGUCCAAACACAUGCUAUGGAGACUUUGGGACCCAUUAACCUGGCUGUAUUAUAGAGGGUGGCCUGCUAACACAGGUCCAAACACAUGCUAUGGAGACUUUGGGACCCAUUAACCUGGCUGUAUUAUAGAGGGUGGCCUGCUAAUAAUUAUAGUGACAUUCAGUGUAAAAAUUGUGUAAGUAUUAGUUAUUAUUCACCAUAAUUUAUAAUUAUCUCCACACAGCGUUCCCCUUGUCCGCCAAAUCCCGUCCCUUCUCCAAAAAUGCUCGUCCUGUUGCUAAGAAACCAACCAACCAAUCGAAACCCUCUGUGACUGUCAACCCCAUCACCGCAACGAAGGCUAUUGCUACAGCAGUUACCACGACAACCAUUUCAUCUCAAAAUCGACCUCGUAAUAGGUCGCGGGUCAAAUCGCUAUGGCAACAACGAGUAUCGAACCUGAAGCCGUCCAAUCAGAAUGCAGGAUUCCAUUAGAGCGUAGACAGUGGACUGGAUGCUUUUGGUUAUGUCCCGUUCACUCCACAAAGAAUAGGAUCAGAGACCAACCUGACCACAGUGACUGGCAGUCCAUUUCCUACGGAUGACUUUGGUAGCACUUCAUUUGACGGACAUUCCUCUACCCCGCCCACUCAUAAUACUGCUGACAAUGCAAGACGAGAUUUGUUUGGAGCACCCCCCUUUGAAUAGGGUUCAAAGGUUACGACAACAAUGACAUCUGUAGAUCAAUUUGGAGCAGUUCCUUUUAGCUGAAUUAAUUGUAAUAUUUAUUUUUCCGUGUGUUUAGUAUUAUAAGUGUUGUUUUGUGUGUAGUAGGAUCAUAAUUAUGACUCGACUAUUGACUGUGUGCAUAUAAUUAGGAUUUUUAUGUUCAGUGAAAAAUUUAAUUAGGUAAACAGUUUUAAUUUUGUGGCAGCAUAGA